AGUGUUUCCUAGAGCCAUCUGCUGACAACACGAACAUUGGGCAUCUGACAGAGGAGAAAUAUUUAUAAGGUUUAGCUCCAGUAUCACAGGCAGAGCAAUGGAGGAUGGAUUUGGAGCUGCAAGGCAAUAAACUGGUAACUGAACAAAGAAAAAGACAAAAUGGAUUUAGAUGGACAACUAUCUCUGCUAAACGAUUUGGGCAACGAUCUCUGCCAAACUUAAGAUAACACGCUUUCCUCACAUCCCAGCAUGAUACCUGAGAAGUACGAAUAUGCCCUGAAACU
rnacentral:lncRNA from 1 species